rnacentral:rRNA from 1 species
GGGCGCGUACAUGAGGCUGGGUGUUGGCGAUGACGGUCAGCGCCUGAGGGAAACCAUUAAGCCAUCCACCUGGGGAGUACGGCCGCAAGGCUGAAACUCAAAGGAAUUGACGGGGGCCCGCACAAGCGGAGGAACAUGUGGUUUAAUUCGAUGGUACGCGAGGAACCUUACCUGGGCUAGAACGCUUCUGGGAUGCUGCGGAAACGUAGCAGCCGGCAACGGCCGGGAGCGAGGUGCUGCAUGGUUGUCGUCAGCUCGUGCCGUGAGGUGUCGGGUUAAGUCCCAUAACGAGCGCAACCCCUACGUCCAGUUGCCAGCGGGUAGAGCCGGGGACUCUGGAUGGACAGCCGGCGUAAGCCGCGAGGAGGGGGGGGAUGACGUCAAAUCAGCACGGCCCUUACGUCCAGGGCUACACACGUGUUACAAUGGCCGGUACAGCGGGAGGCGACCCCGGGAGGGGGAGCGGAUCCCGAAAGCCGGUCGUAGUUCGGAUCGGAGUCUGGAACCCGACUCCGUGAAGCUGGAUUCGCUAGUAAUCGCGCAUCAGCCACGGCGCGGUGAAUACGUUCCCGGGCCUUGUACACACCGCCCGUCAAGCCAUGGGAGCCGGGGGGACCUGAAGUGCGUGACCGCGAGGGGCGCCCUAGGGUAAACCCGGUGACUGGGGCUAAGUCG